rnacentral:lncRNA from 1 species
GUGCUAUGCUUUAGAAGGUCUCGAGGAAAAAGUUGAGAUGGCCGAAUUCGAGAUUCGUGGAUUCCACAUCCAACUGGAUGAAAGUCAAAGGGCUUGCGCAGCAAUGACUGAAGCUGUUGUAAUCAUUCCUGAUCUGCAGGAUGAAAUGGAAGCGUUGAGAGCUCAAUUGCGGGUAUUCCAACGUGCGGUGGGCAAUGGGCAAGCUCCCGUACCUGAGUAUGCUCCUAGACUCAGAAUUCCUGAACCGUGUACCUACGGAGGGGCACGUGAUGCAAAAGAAGUCGAAAACUUUUUGUUUGAUAUGGAAUAGUACUUUCUCGCAGCUUCGAUCGAAGACGAAGCUAGAAAGGUAACCACAGCUACUAUGUAUCUGGGUGGAGAUGCAAAACUAUGGUGGCGAACCAAAUAUGCUGACAUUCAGGCCCAC